rnacentral:lncRNA from 1 species
UUUUAACACAAGCUUGAUGCAGACUCCUUUUUUUUCUUUUUCUACAACAUAUUUAUGUGCAUAACCAAUUUACAAACAGAAAGUACAACCAGAAUUAAUUUACAAAGUGCAGCAUCAAAGCUAGACGGUUAAUGACACCCCCCGAUCCUAGAAUCAAGGCGUGCUGGCCGUCACAUGGGCAUGACGUAACCAAAAGUGCGACGCGGAAGCAAUAGAUAAGAGAAAUACGAAUAAACAAAAACCAAAUACUAGCAAUAAUAACCAAGUAACGUGCUAGAGUAAGUUAAAGUGUGAAACAUACAUAUUCAGAGCCUAAGUACAAGGUGCAGUCAAGUAGGUACAUUACUGAAUUACAACACCCGAAGGUGAGUCCUACAUGAGUAGUCUGUUAGAAUGUCGUGGGAAUCCUCGUGGGCCACCAAAGCUGCUAACUAGAACCUGGAGGGGCACAAAACAAAAUUGAGUGGGUCAGUAAAACAAAGCUUUUCGAAAAUCAUUUCAUUUAAAACAUUUCUAACCCCUCGCUGUAAAACCUGUAUACUUUCCCAGAAAAUAACAUAAUAUGCAUAUAAUCUUCAUAUAUCUCAAAUCACAAUUCUUUAUCAAAACCCAGAAAAUAUGCCAUGCCAUAAAUGUCAAUAACAGAUUAAGAAUGCAUCAAUAUAACAGGUGACAUAAUGAAUCAACCGGAGACCCUGCAGUUGGUCUUGUACGGUUAAUUCCAUAGCUCAAUAUCCAAACCAACGGGAGUCACCACGGUGACUUGUACGGCACUACUCUGCACAUAAGUCGAAACUACCUGAAGUAGUCUGUACGACAAGAAUGGUUUAAUAAUACACUCUAGUGCUUCACUCAUCAAUCAUCUGUGCACAUAAUCUAAGGUCACCUACCAGUCGGAACCACCUCUGGUGAUCUGUACGACUAGCAUGUCGGAACCCUCUCAUGGUCUGUACGACAUGCACCUACUUGGAUCCAAGGUGAUCUUGCGGUGUGGUGAAUAUUAUAAGCACUAACACCAGGGGUACAGGUUAUGAGCUCUCAACACAAUUCACAUUACAAUAAAUCAUAUGAUUAACAUAAAACUCACCUGAUACUCACAUGUGCGUCCACAACACCAUUUCAUAUAUAUAUAUAUAUAUAUAUAUAUAUAUGCAUCAAUUACUAAUUCAUAUAAUUCAUAAUAUGCAUGCAUGGCAUUUUAAAAACAUACUUUUAUUUAAAUUCAAUUUCUGGGAAAUUCAGUAGUAUAUAGGUAAUAACAGAAAAUAACUGCCCACUCACUGAUAAGUCGAAGAGUCGUAACCCCCGUGACGUCCUUGGAUGUGCUCGUCCUCGGGAUAGGUAUCAUCUAUAUGCGAAACAACUAUAAAAACGUUAAUUAAAGCACAUACCGAUAAUUCGUAAUAACUUCUCAUACAAUGCUCAAUUUGGGUAUAUGAAUAUACCACAAUGACCUACUCGACGUCACGGAUGUCGAGGUAUUUUUAGAAAAAAAUUUCUAGGCUGCACGCUCCCCCACGUGUCGGGAGGGGCACGGACCCACGCGCCCCCACGCACGUCACCUUUUUCCUCCAGUCGCCGGACUGGUUUCGCCGGCCACAGAAAAGUCGCCGGUUUCUGGGGAAUUUUUAAAUCGCCAUAACUUCCUCAUUUCUUCAUUAUUUUCAACGCUCUUUAUAUCAAAAUGAAGAUCAUGAUGAGAUGAACACAUCCAUACCUGCCUCGACCCCUAACUCGCCAGGGAUUCACCGGAAAAAGCUUCGAAAGUUCCGGCCAAAAUUGAAAAGUUCCGUUCUCAGUCCUCCGACGUCCAAAUCCUA